rnacentral:rRNA from 1 species
UGGUAGUCCACGCCCUAAACGAUGUCAACUAGCCGUUGGAAUCCUUGAGAUUUUAGUGGCGCAGCUAACGCAUUAAGUUGACCGCCUGGGGAGUACGGCCGCAAGGUUAAAACUCAAAUGAAUUGACGGGGGCCCGCACAAGCGGUGGAGCAUGUGGUUUAAUUCGAAGCAACGCGAAGAACCUUACCAGGCCUUGACAUCCACGGAACUUUCCAGAAG